AUCUUAAGAGUGUCUUUUGGUGCAGCGGUGUAAAACUAAUGUUGGAUUGAGAAACAUCCUCUGCUCAAUCCAAAAGGAGCAAAAAGGCUGGUGGCCAAGAUUGUUGAAGUCUGAAGAGAAGCCCGCUCCAUACCUCAAGGUCGAUUGGAACAAAUGGUGUGAUGAAGAUGAUGAGGAAUCUUCGGACUCUGACAAUGAUGUUGAGUACACUGGAGGAGAUGAUGAGAGCAGCGAUGAUGGAGGAAUGCUCUAUCUUCCAGACCUGGAAAAGGCUAGAGGAAAUUAGAAGCAGCUGCUUAAAACUUUCAAAAAGACGCUGAUUGCCGGAGAUGUUUAGGAUUUAGUUUUUAGGAAACAAAAUGUGACUUUCUUGCUGAAGUAUUUAGAUGUAUAGGGAGGGGUGGUUGGAAGACUGAUUUUAAGCCAUGUGUAUACAUUACAACUUGUUUGGAUGGUUGUUACCCAUUGUAUCGUAUUGUAUUGUUAUCCUAAAACAAUGUUUGUUUUGAUUGGUUGUUUAAAAUUGAUUGUAUUGUAUUGUUAAAUACAUUGUUCGGGAACAACCAAAAGCCCCAUUUUAUGAAACAACCGAUUUGGUGUGGU